UAAGGCUUUGUGACUAAGAGGAUGAAUAAAGGGAUUCCUGAGAGAGGAAGAUUUCCCUGGGGAAAGUAUUGAAUCUAGAAUCUUGGGAUCUAGGUUCAAACUCCAGUUACAACAUUUAUUAUCUCUGUGAUUUAGUUUCCUUAUCUACAAAAUUAAAAGUUUUAACUAAAUUUUCUCUUAAGUCACUUCCACUGACUGAAUUCAAUCUUUGAGAUGAUGUGUUUGAGGCUACACAUCUAAGUAACACUACCUACAGGGGAGUUGAGAAAUCAGGACCAGAGCUGUAAUUUUUGCUUCCUUUUGGAUAUUUUGUUUCCUUUUAGUAUUAGUAGGCUUGUGCUAGACCUACUUUUCCUUACUUUGGCAUUGUUUCUUACCCAAGUUUUCCAAUUUUGCUAAUAAUUUUUUUCUACCAUCAUUUUGCACACAGACACUUGGAGAAGUCUCACAGACACCUGUGAGAAGCAGUUCUGCUAGACUUCUGCUGGAGGCUACUGGCAGUUCUACUGGAGUGGAGGCUGAUGAAGAAGAGGCUGAUAAAGAAUCUGCUGAUUGAACUGACAGGUGGUAUCCCUUCCACAUGAUGACUUUCUCCAUCAAAGUUUCCAUAUAUUGCGAGAAGAAAAUGGCAAACCACUCCAGGAUCUCUGCCAAGAAAACCCUAAAAUGAGAUCACAAAGAAUUGGACACAACUGAAAAACAACAACCAGUGAAAUAUCCAACUCAGACCUCUUCUAACAUCAAGAUGAAAGUAACCAGAAAAUAAGGUUAUGGGAAAAAGUACAAUUUCUGGUCUUUAGCAAGUUGAAAUGAAGAGGAAAAAUGUGAGCCAGAAAGGAAGAAGAUCCUUAUGAUUUGGGACACAAGAGUCCAGUAUCUCUACACUAAGACAUUCAUGAUGUAGUACAAAGAAGAACUGAUUGAAAGGGGGCAUUCCAAGGUUAAAUGCCAGUUCCUUCAACUGAUCUCAGGUGACAUGAAUUUCAGACUGCCAUACUGGUUGCCCUCUUCUGGAUACUCUCCAAGUCAUCAAUAUACUUCUUAAGAUGUGUAACACAGUAUAUAAGGUUCCAGUAUACAACAGGACUCUUACCUCUGUCUGAUAUGAUAUCUUCCUUGACUUACCUAUUUCUCUAUUGACUCCUAUUAAACUUGUAUUUGAUUUUAAAAAUCUAAGAAAUUAAAAAAAAUAAAAUGUUGUGUAUAGCCAUGCCUUAAA